UACAAGCCCCAAAUGGGCCGAUCAAUGAGGGAACCAAAAUUGGUUUCAAGUUAAAUUCUCAUCUCAACAAAUGAGUUUUAAAUUGUUAAUUUCAACUCCCAAGUAAGAGGCUAUAUAUAUAUAAUUCUUUACAUUUAAAGGAAACUCAUUUCCUUCUUCUACCAUUAACUGUCGAGUUUUUCCCCCAAAAGCAGAAUCACCAUUUUCUUUCUUCAAGUUCAAUUCGGAGAGAAAUUUCAAAUAGUAGCUGCAAUACUUUGAUAAUAAAGGUUAAUUUCUUUGAUCCUCUGUUACCUCUAUGAUUUUAGCUUGAAGAAAAUUUAUUCUUUUAAUUCUAGGGUUUUCGAAAAUUUGGGAGUUUUAUGCUAGAGUUGAAGUAUGAUCUUAAUAUUGAGAUAUAUUAAGUUUUUGAAGGUCCUAAGCAUGGUUAUGGUGGCUAAUUGUGUUAAUUCUUACUUGAUUUCGAGUUUACUCAAAUUAGUAUGAACCCUAGGUUUGAGGUUGAGAGUUAUGAUUAGGUAAUUGAAUAAUUGGACUCAUAUAUGUGUUCUUGAGUUGGAAUUAAGUCAUAUAUGAGUAAAUUAUGAGUUUACACCACAUAGUUUGUGAGAGUGAUUUUGUUAGUUUAAGUGGAUUUGGGAAUUCUUGAUAUAAGAUAGCUACAUGUUUGGUGCUUGUGUAAUUGUACUCUGAGUUGUAAAAUGAGAUUAUAUGAGAAUAAUUGGAGGAUAUUAAGCAUGCUACUAUAUGUUGAUGUGUUAAACAUGAAUUAAGUUAAGCUAAAGCAUGCUAAUGUGUAUUAAGAUGAUGUAUUUGAGUUCCUAUAGCUUUUAUUUGAGAAAAAUAUGAGUGAUAUGUCAAUGAGCAUUGCUGUCAGUUUUCGGCUUGACAGGGCAGUAUGUUUCGAGGUGCUUCUGAUGGUGUUCUCAUAGUCUAAAUAACUUGAAAUUUUUACUGUAAUAACUUCAUCAUGUGUAGUCGUUCUCUGCAAAAUUUCAGCUAAAUCCGAGACCAUUAGAUAUGCUAACUUAUUUUCUGAGAUGUACUGCGCGAAGCAGCGAAGUUCAGUGGCAGAUUUUGCCUUUUGUGAUAUAACUUCUCAUACACUUAAUGUAUUAUAUUUUUGGAACUUUCUAAUAAAAAUAGACUUUGAGAGAUUUCUAAAAAUGUAAAGCUUGUAUUUUUCUUUAAAGAGGUUGAUUUUAUAUGAUAUUUCAAAGUUGAGAUUCAUUUAUGAAGACAUGUUUGAGAUUUCUUACUUGGGAUAGUUGAGUACAAUUGUGCUUAAGUCAUUGGUCAAUUCUUGAAUUGAUGUUUUAGUUUUUAAUUGCAAGAGAUAUCCCAAGAGAUAUGAUGUUAUUGUUUGUUUUUAGUUAGUUAAGUCCAUAUAAGUAGAAUACCCACAUUAGAGGAUGCAACUUUCAAGUGAUAGAAGUUUCAUUCAAGAUUUACUUUCUAUUUACUUACUUAUUAUCCAAUCUUACUUGGGAACCUCAUUAUAAUGAAGGUUCGAGUGGCUAUAAAGUGAACAAGCAAGGACUUUUACUUCAUUAAGUAUAUCAGGUGGGCUUACUAACUCAAGAAGUAAAGAUGCAUACUUUAUUAUAUAGAGUUUGAGUGUAUGCAUUUAUUUUCAAAUUAUUGACUUGCCAAUAUUUGAGAUUUGUAUGAUACCAUCUACAUAGAAGAACGAAUUCGGGUCCUGAGCGAGUCAGGAUUUGCAUACACAGAGUUGACAAUUAACCUUUGUGUUAGCUUGUCAUCGUGUUUGAGAAGGAGGCCUACUUCUCAACACUCAGAGUUAUAUGAUGCGUAGAUAUGGUACAUACAUGUUAAUAGUCUGCAGACGUAUAUGAUGUUAUGAUGAUUAUAGAGAAGUUUUACAGUUUUGCAUACACAGGUUAUUUAAAUAAAACUCAUGUGUGAUGUUUGAGAUGGCAAGUUCAAUAUAUAGCUCUAAGAGCAAGCUUUAAAGUUAUUUCGGCAUGACCACUGAGUGCUUUUUGGUACUCAGCCCUGCAUAUGUUUCUAAAUAUGCAGGUUAAGCUGUGAUGCAGAUGGAAGCAAGCCGAGCAAAGCCUUCGGUGUAUAUAUAUUAAAUUAGGCUCAGGAUUCCAUGUCUUCAUACAUGUAAUCCACAUGAGUUAUU
rnacentral:lncRNA from 1 species